CUGAAAGGGAUACUUCUUCGGACAAUAUACAAGGUGCUGCAUGGUUGUCGUCAGCUCGUGCCGUGAGGUGUCGGGUUAAGUCCCAUAACGAGCGCAACCCUACCUUUAGUUGCCAUCAGGUAAUGCUGGGGACUCUAAAGGAACUGCCUACGCAAGUAGUGAGGAAGGCGGGGAUGACGUCAAAUCAGCACGGCCCUUACGUCCAGGGCUACACACGUGCUACAAUGGCCGAUACAGAGGGCAGCUACCUGGUGACAGGAUGCAAAUCUCCAAGGUCGGUCUCAGUUCGGAUCGGAGUCUGCAACCCGACUCCGUGAAGUUGGAUUCGCUAGUAAUCGCGCAUCAGCCAUGGCGCGGUGAAUACGUUCCCGGGCCUU
rnacentral:rRNA from 1 species